UACGGAGGAUGCGAGCGUUAUCCGGAAUUAUUGGGCGUAAAGAGUACGUAGGUGGUUUUGUAAGAGUGAGGUGAAAGCCCGGGGCUUAACUCCGGCGAGCCUCACGAACUGCAAGACUUGAGUGCAGGAGGGGAAAGUGGAAUUCCUAGUGUAGCGGUGAAAUGCGUAGAUAUUAGGAGGAACACCGGUGGCGAAGGCGACUUUCUGGACUGUAACUGACACUGAGGUACGAAAGCGUGGGGAGCAAACA
rnacentral:rRNA from 1 species